ensembl:lncRNA
UGUGAACUGAGGUACGGGCUCGCUGUUCUGUGUCUAGGCUCAACGUUCCUUGUUCUAAACGCAGCACUGGAUACAGUGGUGCGGGCGGUGCGGGCAGUGCGGUAGGCGACACCGGGUCGUCUUCAUAUGCUGGGGGUUCUAUCUCUCCUUCCUUCCUCUCCUUCUUAAUUUUCUCCUCCUUUUUCUCCUUGUUCAAAUGCUCUAUUCCCUGACACCACACUGCUAACUAACACCAUUAUUUUCUGUCCUUUUCCCAUGCCUUUUCCUCAUCUUUAUAUCUCCCUCUCCUGACCAAAUUUCCUGUUUCCCUCUUGUCCCUAACUCUAUCUCGGUUCUUGGCACAAUCCUUCUCUUUAUUCCACAAAAUAACAUGUAAUGGUCUCCUCUCAUCCAUCCUUAGUCCUGCCUCACUCCCCACUUGUCGCAGUUUCUCUUCUAUCUGUCCUUUUUCUUUCUGAGUUGGGUCCAUCCUGCCUACAACUGUCAGUACAUUGACAAGACCAUACACAUGCGCAAGACAGUCGCCAUUUAGAUUCCACGCUGUUGUACCGUGCAAACUAGAAGGAACAUUCAUUUUAGCAACUUGGUUCUCUCAUCAACUCUUGUUCAAAGUGUAUAUGCUACAACAUGUGGAUUAUCACAUUGUUUUACUACAAUUUGAUGAACUCCCGAAACAAACGAAGAUCAAGGAUUAUUUGGACAUCAGACCAAACAUUUUGAACGCCGAGUCACCUACAUAGCUGUGGUGAUGACGUUUUCUAUAGUUUUGUUCCCGGAGGAGGAAGACUGUGUGGAAGCAGUGUCACAGGUGUGUCAAGGUGCGUGAAUAAGGGAGCCAAAUGCAGGGAGGUAGUUACUCUUUCUUUCUUUCUUUCUUAAUAGAAAAAUAUGGCACGCGUAACACAAACAAGAGCGCAAAAGGCUUGCAACAGCUUCGCAAUACAAACACCAAACAUAGAACAAUACCACACAAAGACAGCCAGAAACACAGGAACGUAUAUAUGUGGUCUAAUGAGGGAAUGGACACCAGGUGUGUGCAAUAACAAGACAGGACAGUGCCGUGGGAGGAGGAGCGGCGUGGCUAGAAGGCCGGCGAUGACGUGCGCCGAACACCACGUCGGGAGGGGUGGCGCGCGUCCUCGUUACAAGCAGUUCCACACCAGCAAGCACAGUACACCAAGGCACCAGAGAGGUACUCCACACCACCAUGUAGAGGAUGGCUACAUAGGGCAAGAAGGCAGAGGUAGGGGGAAGUUUUAGCUCUGCACAUGAAGAACAUUUGGAGAAGAUCAAGUGGCUGACUGAAGAGAAGGUCGAGCUGAGGGCAUAGCUGGCUCUACAAUCAGAUAAAAACAAGACUAUAGUUACGCUAACAUCUUGUCUUAAUUAAACUGCAUUUGUCUGAACGUGAGCCCUUUACUGAAAUGCAAUAUUGUACAGCCUUUCUGAAAUAACAGAUUGACAUUUGCUAAGUCAUAGGCUUCUCGAGUUUGGCUUUAUGAGAUCUGACAAACAGAUCCCUGAUGAAAUAAUAAAAAUCAAGCAACAGUACAGGAAUGACAAGACUCACAAUGGAAAACCAGCCAGCGAUACGGAGUGGUCAGACACUUCAGUUUGGGAGUGUGGUGCAGUUUCUGGAAGAGAUGCAAAUCUCUGAGGUCCAGUUGACUUCAUCCAGCAGCACUUCCAAUUCCACCAGCACUACCAACUCCACCAGCACUACCAACUCCACCAGCACUACCAACUCCACCAGCACAACCAACUCCACCAGCACUACCAACUCCACCAGCACUACCAACUCCACCAGCACUACCAACUCCACCAGCACUACCAACUCCACCAGCACAACCAACUCCACCAGCACUACCAACUCCACCAGCACUACCAACUCCACCAGCACAACCAACUCCACCAGCACUACCAACUCCACCAGCACAACCAACUCCACCAGCACUACCAACUCCACCAGCACUACCAACUCCACCAGCACUACCAACUCCACCAGCACAACCAACUCCACCAGCACUACCAACUCCACCAGCACUACCAACUCCACCGGAGAGUGUUUCCUGCCACCCUCACUAGGACACCGUGUGAACACACCUGCUCAUCUCCCUGUGAGCCCCAUUAGUGAUGUGCAGUUCACGAAAGAUUCAUUCGUUUUGAACAAAUCUUUUUAGUGACUCGGGACUCACAAGUUUUUUUUUUCUUCUAGUGACUCAAUUGUAACAUUUAUUCGGAUUUCUACAACAUGAUCACUUGCUUCUUACCCAGCUCAGUUCUCCGAUCAACGACUAUGUACAUUCACAGAGAAAAAUAGAUCAAGGCUGGAACAUCAUAGAAAUGUUUAUAAUAAUAAUGAAUGUAGUUAGUUGACCACUGAUGUCAUGAAAAACACAGAUGAUAAAGAAAGACUUGUGAACGACUGACUUUCUCAGUUUUAUCCUAAAAAAUAAAUUAUGUAGUUGUUGAUUUCUGAUUGUAAUGAUAAACACAGAUGAAAUCGUACACUGAGCCUUUGCCUAAGUAAAAACUACUUGUAAACGACUGACUUGUUCAGUUUUAUCGUUCAAUUGAACAGUUGUUUUUGUCAUUUGAAUGACUGGCAGCGGAGUUCUACCCAACCACGGAAUUGGCUGUUAGGUUUACGUUCACAAAGAAAAAUGGAUAAAGACAGUAACAUUAUAAAGAUGUUUAUAAUGUUUACCAGAUAAUUGGACACAUGGUAGGUCUAAAAUAAUUAGGCUAAUGUAGUAGUUGAUUUUUGAUUGUUAUGAUAAACACAUGAAAUCAUACACCAAGCCUUUGCCUACGUAAAAAAGACUUGUGAAAGACUGACUUGUUCAGUUUUAUCGUUUUAAAAGUUCUACCCCAAUCCCUGGCUUCCAGCGCAGUAGCCUUGUCUCUGUCCAACAGCUGUGAGUUUGACGUUCUCAAAGAAAAGUUUAUCAAGAAAGUAGCAUUGUGACAACAUGUUUGUAACAGUUAAUUUGACUCACAGCCCACCAUAAUUAAUGUAGUAUUAGAUUUUUGAUUGCAAUGAUAAACAUAGUUGUAAUCGUAGAGUAAAACAAGCGUUUGCUAAAGUAGAAUAGAAAUGUAAACGACAUUAUGAUGAUGAGCGUUUGUUGGCCCCGGGGGGCUUUGUGGCUGUAGACUCAAAUGAAUGAAAUACAGAGCCCAUCCCACCAUCUCUCUCAUGAGCUCGCUGCCAAGACAAACUGUAUGGUAAGAACUGCAGUUUGUGUGAAAUGGACUUCAACAGCUUAGGUAGUAGGUCAUGGCUAUAUUGUCUAAUUUUAAGACACCAUGCUUGAAUAAUGACACAAAUUAUUUUGAGGAAAAGUAUGCAACUUUAUAAGUUUUUUUCAAUCCUGUCUGGUUCAAGUGAUAUGAAAAUACUUUAACAUGUAUGUGAAACUCAUCUGUCAUAUCACAGCACAACAUUACAAUGGACCUUGUUAGUCUAUGUUCUGCUACCACAGCAAUGAUUUGACCUGUAUUGGAUUUUGAUUAUUCAUAUAUUUUUCAGGCAAAAGGAAGUGAUAAUCAGGACAGAGGAAGAUGGUAGAACCAUUAAACAACAUGUGACCAUGAGCUAUUGGACAGAAGGGCGGAUGCCCAGCGCUCAUUGGCACAAGAGGCAUUUGAGUAUGCGAAGGAGAGCGAUGCCAGAGAAGAAAUCCAGAUAGAGGAAUCAGAGUGUUUCAACACCGGGUUGCUCAGUGUUUUCAGUCGGCUGGUUCGCGUCCUUUCCACAAGCCGCCUGUCGUGGAAAUCACUAAAUGUACAAAUCACAGAGACUGUAGAUUCUAUUCACAAGUAAAGCUUUAUUCUAUAUUUGCAAACCUGGAUCAAUAACCAACAAUCUCAGCAGAGUCAGUUCAAGAGCUCUCAGUUAAAGGUUGAGCUCAGGCCUAUAUACAUUCAGUACAGCCCACUGUCCCCCCCACCAAGUCUACAUGUCUCACUAGCUUCUCUGCGAACUUUGGCUUAGAAAGAUGUUAAAUAUCAUUUUUGGAUAACUCUCUUAUCAAUACAUUACGGUAAUGGUGUUGGAGGUAUUACGGUUUUACGUUUACUUCUGUGUAUGCAAUGUAUGCCAGUUGAGUUCACUGGUAUGCAAUGAUGAGGAAGGAUGUACAGAGCUGUGUACAUGUAUGGAAUAAAUAACUAUAUGGAACAGACGCUCUGCUUAUACUUUCACCUCAAGUUAAGCCUGCGCAAGUAAGCUAACUUAACAAAAGAUAAAGAUGUUCACAGCCCUUGAGAAGUUUAGCCAAAACAAGUGAGCAGAGCAAAAACACAUAAUGGCCUUGCUUAACGACUGGAUUAUACUUAAAAUAAUCAAUAUGAUAUUAUUGUACUAUGGAAUCAGAACAUUUCUACCACACGCCCCCAUCCUUGAUUGUGUGCUGACUUACAUUUCUACUCCUGUCCAUCAUUACAGCCUUACAUGUCCCCUUUCAUUUGUAAAUAGUUCUUAAAUUGCUGAUUCAUGCACAUUUGACAAGAUUUUAAAAUAUUUUAUUUUAAUUUGCACUUUUCUUCUUUGACCUUCACUUUGACUUACAUUGUCUUUUAUAACGUACAGUUUUUGGACAUUACAAUAUAUGUCAUUACAAUGUUUACCUUUGUACUUUUAAUUGUAUAAUUCUGGGGUGUUUUUCCAUACAUUGUUUUCAUUAAUAAAAUAAAACACAUCCCAGGUCUGGGUAAUCUGUUUUGCACAAUGUCUGGUGUGAGGGCUGAGUUUGACUGUGUUUUUGAUUCUGUUUUGUAACUUUGUCUCAGUAUUGUUUUGAACGUAGCCUUCUUCCCCGUGUUAGUCCUAAUGAGUUUCACUAAUGUGUUUCUGUGCAUCUGCUCCUUAUCAGUUCCUAUAUAGUUCAGUCCUAUUUGUAGCGUCCUUUGUGAGGUAUUGUUUUCCCACUCUACUGAGCCUUUUUUUUCUAGUCGAUUCCAGUGUUAACCAGUGUACCAAUCCGUCUGUCGGUUUGUAUUUUGACUUCGAUUCUGCUCUAGUCCAUCUGUACCUCUGACUGAUCUGACCAUCCAGCGUACCGACCUUUUGCUUGCCCUGUUUUUUUGCAUUUUUGGAUUCUGGAUUUGGAUUGUUAUUAAAACCCUCCUAGCUCUUACAGAUUUCACAACUUGGACAUUUUGGGUCCUACAUUCUUUUCUGUAACAGGUAUCACAAAGUAUUGUAUAUCCAGGUAUUCACAAC